rnacentral:rRNA from 1 species
GACGAACGCUGGCGGCGUGCUUAACACAUGCAAGUCGAACGGAAAGGCCCUGCUUUUGUGGGGUGCUCGAGUGGCGAACGGGUGAGUAACACGUGAGUAACCUGCCCUUGACUUUGGGAUAACUUCAGGAAACUGGGGCUAAUACCGGAUAGGAGCUCCUGCUGCAUGGUGGGGGUUGGAAAGUUUCGGCGGUUGGGGAUGGACUCGCGGCUUAUCAGCUUGUUGGUGGGGUAGUGGCUUACCAAGGCUUUGACGGGUAGCCGGCCUGAGAGGGUGGCCGGCCACAUUGGGACUGAGAUACGGCCCAGACUCCUACGGGAGGCAGCAGUGGGGAAUAUUGCACAAUGGGCGGAAGCCUGAUGCAGCAACGCCGCGUGCGGGAUGACGGCCUUCGGGUUGUAAACCGCUUUCGCCUGUGACGAAGCGUGAGUGACGGUAAUGGGUAAAGAAGCACCGGCUAACUACGUGCCAGCAGCCGCGGUGAUACGUAGGGUGCGAGCGUUGUCCGGAUUUAUUGGGCGUAAAGGGCUCGUAGGUGGUUGAUCGCGUCGGAAGUGUAAUCUUGGGGCUUAACCCUGAGCGUGCUUUCGAUACGGGUUGACUUGAGGAAGGUAGGGGAGAAUGGAAUUCCUGGUGGAGCGGUGGAAUGCGCAGAUAUCAGGAGGAACACCAGUGGCGAAGGCGGUUCUCUGGGCCUUUCCUGACGCUGAGGAGCGAAAGCGUGGGGAGCGAACAGGCUUAGAUACCCUGGUAGUCCACGCUGUAAACGGUGGGUACUAGGUGUGGGGUCCAUUCCACGGGUUCCGUGCCGUAGCUAACGCUUUAAGUACCCCGCCUGGGGAGUACGGCCGCAAGGCUAAAACUCAAAGGAAUUGACGGGGCCCCGCACAAGCGGCGGAGCAUGCGGAUUAAUUCGAUGCAACGCGUAGAACCUUACCUGGGUUUGACAUGGAUCGGGAGCGCUCAGAGAUGGGUGUGCCUCUUUUGGGGUCGGUUCACAGGUGGUGCAUGGCUGUCGUCAGCUCGUGUCGUGAGAUGUUGGGUUGAGUCCCGCAACGAGCGCAACCCUUGUUCACUGUUGCCAGCACGUUAUGGUGGGGACUCAGUGGAGACCGCCGGGGUCAACUCGGAGGAAGGUGGGGAUGACGUCAAGUCAUCAUGCCCCUUAUGUCCAGGGCUUCACGCAUGCUACAAUGGCUGGUACAGAGAGUGGCGAGCCUGUGAGGGUGAGCGAAUCUCGGAAAGCCGGUCUCAGUUCGGAUUGGGGUCUGCAACUCGACCUCAUGAAGUCGGAGUCGCUAGUAAUCGCAGAUCAGCAACGCUGCGGUGAAUACGUUCCCGGGGCU